GAAGGUAUAGCUCAGUGGUAGAGUGUGUGUGUGGCAUGCACAAGGUCCUGGGUUCAAUCCCCAGGACCUCCA
rnacentral:tRNA from 1 species